UUCGACCUGCUCUUUGGGGCUGGCAGGGGGGGAAGCGCUGCUUUCCCCCACCGCCAGCUCCAAAGACCAAGUCGAGGA